rnacentral:rRNA from 1 species
UACGGGGGGGGCAAGCGUUGCUCGGAAUUACUGGGCGUAAAGCGCACGUAGGCGGCUUCUUAAGUCGGUGGUGAAAUCCUGGAGCUCAACUCCAGAACUGCCUUCGAUACUGGGAAGCUCGAGUCCGGGAGAGGUGAGUGGAACUGCGAGUGUAGAGGUGAAAUUCGUAGAUAUUCGCAAGAACACCAGUGGCGAAGGCGGCUCACUGGCCCGGUACUGACGCUGAGGUGCGAAAGCGUGGGGAGCAAACAGG